rnacentral:misc_RNA from 1 species
GCUUCAUAUAUAGCUGCAUUGGUCAUUAGGAAAGUUGUCAAAUUGCAAUGCUUACCUUUCUCGAUAACGUCAAAUAGGGAUGUCAAGUUUGCUAGUUAUUUUUGGAAGAAACUCUGGAAGUUGUUUACCACUACAUUGAAAUUUUCUUAACUUUUCACCCUCAAACAAAUAGUUAAACUGAAGUUGUGAAUCAUAGCUUUGAU